rnacentral:rRNA from 1 species
CCUACGGGAGGCUGCAGUGAGGAAUAUUGGUCAAUGGGCGGAAGCCUGAACCAGCCAAGUAGCGUGCAGGCUGACGGCCCUACGGGUUGUAAACUGCUUUUAUACGGGAAUAACGCGCCUUACGUGUAGGGCUUUGCAUGUACCGUAUGAAUAAGGACCGGCUAAUUCCGUGCCAGCAGCCGCGGUAAUAAGGAAGGUCCGGGCGUUAUACGGAUUUAUUGGGUUUAAAGGGAGCGUAGGCCGCAUGUCAAGCGUGCGGUGAAAUUGCCGGGCUCAACCCGGGCCUUGCAGCGCGAACUGGCGUGCUUGAGUCCGCGGAAAGCAGGCGGAAUUCGUCGUGUAGCGGUGAAAUGCUUAGAUAUGACGAAGAACCCCGAUUGCGAAGGCAGCUUGCUGCAGCGGAACUGACGCUGAUGCUCGAAAGCGCGGGUAUCGAACAGGAUUAGAUACCCGGGUAGUC